AUGAGUAUCCUUGUAUGGAACUGUCGUGGGGUGGGUAACCCCGCCAUAGUUCAUGAGCUUCGCAACCUAGCGAAGAAAGUUACCUCGUCCGUAUUAUGUAUUAUUGAAACUCAUAUAGAUAGAGUACGAGUCGAGAACAUGAAAAGUGAGAUAGGUUUCAAUAAAAUUUAUGCUAUUAGUAGUGAUGGUCGUAGUGGCGUCCUUGGUCUUUUUUGGAAUGAAGAAAUAAUGUUGCAAGUUUCUUGUUACUCCAAGUAUCAUAUAGAUGCAACCAUAGAUAAUUUGAGUUCGUCAUCGCCUUGGAGACUAACUUGUGUCUAUGGAGAAGCACAUGUUCAAGAAAGAUUUAAGACAUAG
rnacentral:rRNA from 1 species